UGAGAAAAUGGUGUCUGACAUGAAAGUGCGGAAGAAGCAAAGGGAGAAGGACCUUCUCUAUAAAGGUGAGAACACCUGAGACCCACUGAAAGCAGUCCCACCAUGUGGAUGCAGCUCUACACUGUCCAAGCUCAAGGGAGAAAGCAGAGAACUGCUGAAGGAUGGCAGCUGCUCUACACUGAGCACUCAAGGUAGUUUUGUACAUAAAGCAAUAUGUAAAAUUUAGGCAUUUCGUUCUCAUUUUACUUAGAAUUUAAGUGCAAACCCACAAUGGUGAUAAUUCAGCGUGAGAUUCUUCUAGCCAUGUAAAUAGUUGCUCCAGUUGUUGUUAAUUUCCCAAGCAGAUUAUCUGUGUCUCUUUAACAUGGACAUAUAAUUUCUUAGCUUCAAUUAUGUUGUUUCAAUACAUACACCAAAGAUAAUUCUCCCUAAUUAUUACCUUGAGCACAUGGCUGCAGAUGCUGUUUAUGUAUUUUAUUUUUGUUUCUGUAAGGAAAUCUGCACUAGUCCUAAAUUUUGAAGUGUACUUCAUUUUCUGGGGUUCUAAUAAAUUAGUCAGCCUACAGCUUUCAUGUGUCAGGAGAUGAGGGCUGUGGUGACUUCGUGGUUGCAGAACCCUCUUUAAAAUUAACUUGGGAGAAAAAUAGGACCCAACCCUGAAAUAAAUUAACUGGAGUAAUUCCAGGCACCUGCAAGUGCUGUGUGUAACUAUCCGAUGUCUGUGGCUGAUGUUUAUAGCUAGAGAAACAGGUUUCUCUUUGGAAUGGUGUUAACCAGCUGACGGCUCUGAAGCCCAACAGUGGUGGAGUGCGCAGGUGAUGGCCUUUUCUUCUGUGGUCUCUUCAGCAAAGACUUCUGAUUCCCUGAGCAGGAGGCUGUCCCUCGUGCUCUGUGCCCAUUGUAGGGAUGUCCUGCAGCAACAAAUGCUACCUUGGGUGGUCUUCAGUCUUCCUUGAGGCUGGGAAGGGGAGGAGGCUUGAUGUGAGAUGUGAUGUUACACCGAGAUUCAGGCCUGCAGGAGGCUGCUGUGGAACAAGAAGAAACAGUGUUUUUCUGCAUUCAUAGAAUCACCAACGUUGGAAAAGACCUCUAAGAUCCUCCAGUCCAAUCAUCCACCUAUCACCAACACUGCCCGCUAAUCCAUGUCCCUCAGUUUAGUUUGCAGAAGUUUCUCUAGAAGAAGUGUAGAGUCUUGGAUGGGAAACGAGUGCUGCUUGCCUGAGUGUGCAUCCAUGACCCCAGGGACAUCUUGGUGAUGGGCUGAAAACGACAGCUACAAUCAAGGAGGAGGAGAUCUUCCCACAUGGGAUGUUCCAUCAUACCCACUCUUCUGCCACGGCUCAUGUUGGCACUCCUGGCUAAUUGUGCAGGGGAUCUUUGUAGGGAAAAUCUGUAAGAUCAAGCAUCUGCUGUGAGAAAAGGACCAAAAGGAGCUGAAACAGCAGCUAAAUACAAUAAAUUGUUCUGUGAAUGGUAGGGUUCACAAAGUCUGGUUUCCAAAGGAUUUAUAUCCCCUACACAGGCAUCUGUUCUUCUUCAGCCUCUUAUGGUCCUUAGCUGCAUGCAAGGCAGGAGACAGCCUCCAGUUUGAACUGUUUAAUUAUAAUAAUUUUGAGCUGUUCAUGGGCUCGACAGCUCACGUGCUGUCUGGUCAGCCAGAAGGACAAACAGAACAGAUAAAGGCUAUAGCCUAUAAGAGAAAGAACUUCAGAUUUUCUUUCCUCUAUCCAAUCAUUGUUCUUCACAAAACAUGCCAUUAUUUUGUAUCUUUGAUUUUUAGCUGUCAGAGUUGGUAGAAAAUAGCUGCUGGACAGACAGACAGCAAUCAUACAAGCCCUGAACCUUCAGGAAUUCAGGCAACGAGUUGGAUUGCAUUUUGCAUUUCAAUGGAGAUGCAUCUGGAUGGAGUCACAUCCAUCAUGCUGCCCUCAAGUCUGUGUGCAUGGCCCAUAAUAUUUCACAAAGUUUUCCAUCAGCUUCCAACAGCUUGUUAAACAAGAUAAUCCUGGCUGCAUACUUCCUACAAAUGUUUCCAUUCAUAGAUCUGGCACAUGUUUCUCCUCGUUAGAGUCAACGCUGCUGAUUCAGAUAUCAAUUCUGUCAUCAGCAAAGUGAAGGGCAUCUUUAAGUUAAACUAAUUAAUCAGAAACACAAAAGACUCUUAAUGUGAGUUACUGACACAUGGUAACUUCAGAGAGAAAGCUGUUUUCUGACUCUGAAGAACAUUUUUGGAAUUUGGCUCCUAGCCUAUAAUUUUUUGUCUUCCUGUUGGAUGAUUUUUUUCAGACCUAUCCAAAAAGAAUCUUCAUUUUGUUGGUAAAUAUUUACCUAUUAGCACCAUUUUGCAAAAACAAAUAUAAUACUUUUAGGGAAAAUUAAGAUGAUGAUUUUGGAUUCCCAGUGGCCUAAUGCUGAAUUCUGUCCAAGAUCUGACUUCGAUAAACUUUGUUUGAAAUUCAAAUGUUAUUUAUUAUGUUUGGAAGGAACUGCUCAGGAGGAAUUGAAAAUAAGGACAGGGAAUUACUAGCAUGGAAUACUGGGGUUAAAAAGGAGGGAUCAGGAGGGAGACAAUCAUCUUGAUCCAACCAAUAUUUGUCCCUAGGUUAAACAUGGGAUUUCCUUUAAGCUGUAACCCGUUACAGACAGUGACACCAUGCACUUUCUGUUGGUGGAUUUGUAGAUUUUGAGCUGAGCCUUCUAACGGUGAGACUCCUUGCAUGUCAAGCAUAAACUUAAGCAGAAAUACACCAUACCAGGACUGGGGCAUUGAUAUUAAAAAAAAUAUAUAUAUAUAUAUUAAAAGGAGAAAGAAAACAUUCCCUAUUACCUAUAUACUUGUAAUUAUGUGUCUCUAGGGUGAUGAAAGGUAAUUUUUCAUUCCAGUGUGAGUGUUGUAGUGUAUGUGCUGUAUGGCUAUGUGGGUGGAGAUGCUUUGUGAGCAUGUAUGUUUUGCUUUCUGCAUGCUUAUGCAACAGCUUAUUACUUGAAUAGAGGAAUCUGGGGAAACAGAGAUUGCAGGUUCCCUCACUGGUGCUUCUGAAACCGCUGCAGAAACCUCGCACCUCCUCUGAGAGACAGGGAAGAAGGGAGCAGAUUGGCAUGGCCCUGUGCUCCCUGAUGUUAAAGUUGCCAUCAUCUGAUUUACUUCCUAAAACUGGAA